rnacentral:rRNA from 1 species
UACGUAGGGGGCUAGCGUUAUCCGGAAUUACUGGGCGUAAAGGGUGCGUAGGUGGUCUUUCAAGCCAGAAGUGAAAGGCUACGGCUCAACCGUAGUAAGCUUUUGGAACUGUAAGACUUGAGUGCAGGAGAGGAGAGUGGAAUUCCUAGUGUAGCGGUGAAAUGCGUAGAUAUUAGGAGGAACACCAGUUGCGAAGGCGGCUCUCUGGACUGUAACUGACACUGAGGCACGAAAGCGUGGGGAGCAAACAGGAUUAGAUACCCCCGUAGUCCCUGAG